GAUGAACGCUGGCGGCGUGCUUAACACAUGCAAGUCGAACGGUGAAGCAGGAGCUUGCUCUUGUGGAUCAGUGGCGAACGGGUGAGUAACACGUGAGCAACCUGCCCCUGACUCUGGGAUAAGCGCUGGAAACGGCGUCUAAUACUGGAUAUGUGAUGUGACCGCAUGGUCUGCAUCUGGAAAGAAUUUCGGUUGGGGAUGGGCUCGCGGCCUAUCAGCUUGUUGGUGAGGUAAUGGCUCACCAAGGCGUCGACGGGUAGCCGGCCUGAGAGGGUGACCGGCGACACUGGGACUGGGACACGGCCCAGACUCCUACGGGAGGCAGCAGUGGGGAAUAUUGCACAAUGGGCGGGAGCCAGAUGCAGCAACGCCGCGUGAGGGAUGACGGCCUUCGGGUUGUAAACCUCUUUUAGCAGGGAAGAAGCGAAAGUGACGGUACCUGCAGAAAAAGCACCGACUAACUACGUGCCAGCCGCCGCCGUAA
rnacentral:rRNA from 1 species